UCGCCAGACUCCUACGGGAGGCAGCAGUGGGGAAUAUUGCACAAUGGGGGAAACCCUGAUGCAGCGACGCCGCGUGAGUGAAGAAGUAAUUCGUUAUGUAAAGCUCUAUCAGCAGGGAAGAAAAUGACGGUACCUGAGUAAGAAGCCCCGGCUAACUACGUGCCAGCAGCCGCGGUAAUACGUAGGGGGCAAGCGUUAUCCGGAUUUACUGGGUGUAAAGGGGGCGCAGGCGGAGGCACAAGUCAGCGGUAAACUCGGGGGGCUCAACCCCGCUCCGCCGUUGAAACUGUGUCCCUUGAGUGCGCGAAGGGUAGGCGGAAUGCGUGGUGUAGCGGUGAAAUGCAUAGAUAUCACGCAGAACUCUGAUCGCGAAGGCAGCCUACCGGCGCGCAACUGACGCUCAUGCACGAAAGCGUGGGUAUCGAACAGGAUUAGAUACCCUUGUA
rnacentral:rRNA from 1 species